rnacentral:lncRNA from 1 species
UUUCGAUUUUAUUCUUUUUAUAAGAUGAUUUCAAAAUACUGUUCUGCAAUCUUUAUAAUUGCUCAUUGUUCAUCAGAUAUGGAUUCGAAUCAUAAAAUUCAAGAUCGACAGAUAACGAAACAUCCAUCUCCAAACGUGCAACUAGCUAAAUUGUCACAGAAAGCCGUGAUUCCAAUGACUAAAUUCGUUUCGAAAACACUACAGAUGUGCAGAAAUUCGUCUUCAAAUAAUUCUGUUGAUUCAAAUCCUCAUUCUUCAGUCUCUCCAAAGAAAUAUUAAUCUUUUAUCUUUUACAUGUGAAC